AUGACCAUAGAGAAAAAUAUGCCGAAGAAAAUAAGGUACGCCAAGCUGUCAAAAUGGCAAGUUUUUCGUAAACUUGCUGCCCAAUCGAAAGGGCAACCUGAGGAAAAAAAUAACAACCCUCAAGCCAGAAUUGACAACGAAUUUGAAGAAAAACAUAAUUUUAUAGAAAACAUGAUUGAGGACAUUCAGGUAGAUCAUGAUCAAAUUAUACAAGAUAUAAUGGCAGACGGAUUCAACAAUUUGCCCGAAGACUCUCGAACUCUACUACGAACACCUCGAAAUUCUAAUUUCGAAAUUAGUCCUUGUCCGCCUGGAGAAUAUCUUCAUUAUGGAUUAAAGAAAGCUAUUAAAAAUGUGCUAUGUGGUUCAACUUGUAUCGGCAAAACAGAAUUGAUGUUUGAUUUAAAUAUUGAUGGUCUACCCAUAGCGAAAUCUUCUGGAACAUCUUUAUGGCCUAUUUUAGGAAAACUUGUCCACAGUUCUCUGAAUACGCCAUUCAUUAUUGGGAUUUAUCACGGCAAUAAAAAACCGUAUUCGGUUCACAACUACCUAACAAUAUUUAUCAAUGAAUAUAAACAGUUGCAAGAUGAAGGAAUUGUCAUGGAUGGAAUACGGUACAAUUAUCCUCUACUCAAGAAUCCAGUUGUGUCAGAACUUCCUUUGGGUUGUCACAGCGAGCACCGAAUUCUACAAUUCCACGGGUUUCAAUUAUCGAAUAAGAGGCCGGACAACUGUUGCUUUAUGACUGAUGCAACUAUCGUGAUCAUCAAGCAUAUUGGAUUAAUAGGAAAUAUGAUCGUUAUUCUUGUAGAAGAGCACUGCAUAAAUGCAUCUACUAAUGAAGAUACUGAUGAUAUGUGUGAAAAAGCUCUUCUUUCAAGUGAAGCAGAAAAAAAACGGAAGAAGAAAAAGCCAGCAUAUCUUAGCGACACGUCGGAAGAAGAACAAGUAAUCGAAGAUACAGAGGAAUCUACUAAAGGAAUCCACUCGUUUGUGUUACCACCAUCUUGUUAUAAGGAACAAAAUUUGGAUGAACACGAAGCCUCCCCAGUGAAUGCAAAACCCAGAAUCAUUGCCAUAUCGAAAUACCUACCAGUUGAAAAAAUUCAAACAAGUAAUGUAUUAUUAGAAUCUGGAAACUUACGUGUACCAACCACAGAAGGAUCUGACGAAAAUAAUGGAGCCCGGAAAAAAUCCUCUUUUUCAGAGUUGAAUAGCUUUGAUUCAACGCGUGAACAUGAAACUACUGGCAGAGCCACUAUUACUACUUUGCAAAAACAAACAUCGACACAUUCAGGAAAGAAAAUAUCCAAAGAAGUCCGAAACGAUAAUAGAAUAAAAGAAAUUUUACCUAUACCUACAAAACAAUGUACAAGUGAAAAUAUGACAUCCACUAAUUCGGAAAUAGACGUGAAUCCUGUUCUUGUCAGAUGUGCGGAAGAUCGCUCGACACAAAAUCACCAAGAACAAACACGCAAUCGUACACGUGGACCUAUGACCGAAGAGCAAUUUUCAACAUAUUACAAGUGCCUUAACACGAAGUUGAACCAUAUUAUUAAUUUGAUAAAAGAUCGUUCCACAGAAAUGCUGAUAGAUGAAAGGGAAAAUCUUUGACCAAACUUCCCUUUAAAAACUGUCCAAGAAUUCGAACAAUUUGAAGAAAAUCUCGUCCAGUCUUUAGAAAUAAAAAAACAAUACAUUCGUGAGAUAAAAAUGGUCGGAGGAUCUGAUCCGGGCAAAUUCACCAGAGCCACGUUGCGCUUCUUAAUAUCAAAUGAGCUAGCAUUGAAGUAUUCCUGGUCUGGCAAAAAAAAAACACUGAAAUUUCAAACUACCCUCAUUUCCCAAUUUAUUGUUGAAACCAUUUCAAAAAUGAAGAAUGUUCCUAAGAGCGACAUUGAGAUCAUUAUAAAGAAGUGGCUGCAGCACGCUAGUGACCGAUUAAAAAACCGAAGCUAGAUUAGUACGUAAAUAGUAUAGUACGUAACCCAAAAACCAAGAGAAUAGUACAUUAAUAUUCCAUCAAAACUGUAACAAUAAAAUUUCUCAUUUAGUUGAUGUUAUACGAGUGCAAGUAGAAUUGACAUUUUUAAUUAUUUUAUUAAAGAUUUACAUAUAUUAACAGUAAAGUGUAUAUUUAAGUAUAAUAAAGAAUAAUUUUUUGUUUGAGAUUUUUAAUGAGAGAGAAAAAUGUGGAGAUAUUUUUUGAGAAAAAUAUUUUUUAGAUGUUUGAUGCUAUACUUGUUACGUUUCUUACAAAAACAUACUAAUUAUAUAAGUAUUACUAACAAUUACACAUAUAAUUGUACAUUAUAUAAGUAUUAUUUACCUUACAGAUAUGUGCGUAAUACCUUCACCACUAUACUUAGUAAUUUUUUAAUCCGUUUUUCUUAUUGGUCCAUCCAUUCAUUAGCUUGCUCAAGUAAAAAAUCAUUCACCGUUUGAUCGUUCAAAGUACUGAUCCUUGAGAACGUUGUGUCUACUCACAUAUCUGUAAGAUAAAUAUUUCUGCAGAAAUUGCAGACAUAAAUAUAUCUUUUAACAUUAAUCGAAGUUUGAUAUAAAACUUUGUACUUUGCGGUUACUUUCUCUUUUUAAUAUAUCUGCAUUAAAUUAAUUCUGUCAGAGCAUAUAUGUAAAAUGCACAACGCCUGAAUUGUUAUUUUCAUUUAUUAUCUGAGUAAACUCAUUUUCAUAUAACGUAUGUGGUUUAUGCAUCCGUAUUUUUAAUGCAGUGUAGCAUGGAUUUAUAAAUAAUGUGCUAUGGUUGAAAGAAAAACUUUAGUACAAAAGCGUAUUACAGAAAAAUAUGUAUUUAUGAGUAUGUGUAUAACUAGUAUUGGCGCAGAAAAGUAAAUAUGAAACUGAAUAGUAAAACGUUAAUAACAGUUAUUUUAUCUUUCACGUGACGUAUAUGUAUAUAUAAUAUAAGUACAGAGUGUAUCGGUCGCGCUAUUUUUUAUAUCUAAGAGACUAGUCAAUACUAGUAAUUUGUGAUAGAACGUCAUGUGAUAAAAAAAAAACAAAUAUGUACAAAUAUACAUAUAUACGUAUAUUAUACAUUUUUAAUAAAAAUAAUAUUUAAUUUGCAAUAGAAA
rnacentral:sRNA from 1 species